AACUUUCAACAACGGAUCUCUUGGUUCUCGCAUCGAUGAAGAACGCAGCGAAAUGCGAUAAGUAAUAUGAACUGCAGAUUUUCGUGAAUCAUCGAAUCUUUGAACGCACAUUGCGCCCUCUGGUAUUCCAGAGGGCAUGCCUGUUUGAGCGU
rnacentral:rRNA from 1 species